rnacentral:rRNA from 1 species
UACGUAGGGUGCAAGCGUUGUCCGGAAUUAUUGGGCGUAAAGAGCUCGUAGGCGGCUUGUCGCGUCGACUGUGAAAACCCGUGGCUCAACCAUGUGGUCUGCAGUCGAUACGGGCAGGCUAGAAUUCGGUAGGGGAGACUGGAAUUCCUGGUGUAGCGGUGAAAUGCGCAGAUAUCAGGAGGAACACCGGUGGCGAAGGCAGCUCUCUGGGACGGUACUGACGCUGAGACGCGAAAGCGUGGGGAGCGAACAGG